AUCUUAUCUAGAGAGGUCGAGGGACUGGCCCUAUGACGCCUCAGCAACCAGUCAACAUGAUUGAUAUGGUGCUAAUUCCAGCAGGUUUUAUAACCUGAACGAUAAGGA
rnacentral:ncRNA from 2 species